GGUGAGCCGCGCGCAGGCGUGCCUGCCCUGCGCGCCGGAGAGAGUUGUAUGUUCGAGUCCCUGGGUCCCUUCCUGGGGGUUCUUGGUGCUGUGCUAUCUGCGUGUGAUUCUCUAGCGAGAGAUUGUGCGCGACUGACCAAGUGGGCAAGGGGCUGUCACUGUGUGUGCGUGAUUGUUGUGAGGGUGUGUGGUGGUCGCUUCUGACUCCGCGUGGGUCGCUGAAUGUGUGACUGGGACCGUUUAGCGGCGGAUACAUAAUUGUGUGCGGCUGUGGAAGAUUCCCUCAUCCGUUAAGUUCCCAUUUCCGUGGAACAGCAGUUUUACCAGAAAGUUUGGAAGGAGCCUUAAAGUUGGAAGCGUAAGAGUUUAUCUGGCGGCUUUGGUGCCAUCACGUGUGAGAAGCCCAGGACUUUACACAUCCCGAGCCAGUGUGGUCCAAUAUGAUGGGGAGUCCCGAGUGCCAGAUGCCGGUCAGGACGUGUUAUUCUGGGUCUCAGAAUGAGGAAGCCCUCCCUGUCCGAGAUGCAACAGCUUGUCCUUGAGUCAGGCCAGGAGUCCUGAGUUACUCUGUCUUUUGAUUUGAUCCUGUUUCCCUCAGACCUGAGAUGGGGGGUCUCACUGUAUUGCCCACGCUGGUCUUGAAUUCCUGAGCUCAAGUGAUCAUCUUGCCUCAGCCUCCCAAAAUGCUGAUGAAGCUGCAUCGUUGUCUAGGGUAAAUACCUGAGCUUCGUUGUCUCAUGCCAAGGGAAUCGAGGACGCGGACACACAAGAAAUGGGGUCCCUACCUGGCCGGGGCCAUGCUGUCUGUUCCUUACUGUAUACUUCCCUUUUGGUUGACAAAAGGGAAGAUGGAGCUGCCAUGUUGGACAUGCCUGGCCCCCAGGUACCUUUUUCCUAUUGGCACAGCUGCCGGCAUUCAUCCGUGCAAGCUUCCAGCUUGCUUAUCUAUGUCUGCGGCUUGAUUUUUCAGGCUGCUCUUUGUUAGAAAAGAAAUGACUUGGGGGCUGCUUUUCAUUAAAAGGAAAACUAUACCGAGGAUUUCCUUACCCUAUCUGCCUAAAUAAUUUCUUUUAAACUCCUAUGUCACUUGGGAUUACAGGCAUGAGCCACUGUGCCUGGUAGAGGGUUUUUUGGUCUUUAUUCCUCAAGAUUUUGCACUUAGAUAAUUAUGUUAAACUUAGGUGUGCUAGGUAGACAUAUGUCUGCUGAUUACCUAUUAGGAAGAAUGUGGAUUCCUACUUAGGGAAAAGGAGUCAGGCUGGUGGGACCAGCAGAAAGCAAAUAGAUAAAGCAAAUAAGCUAUAGAUCUGCAUUUUCUUCAUGGUCCAGGAUAUAUAAACAAAAAAAGGAAGCAGAUAUGCUAUAGGCUUGCUCUUCUUUAUGGCCCAGGACAUAUAGCCCUCCUGAGCAAAUCAUGAACAUAACUCACAAACUUCCUGCUUAUCAUCAAACGCACGCAAACAUUUAUCAUCAAACAGCUUGGGUGACAGAAGAAUGCAGGUUAGCUCCCUGCUGCCUUGGCGUUAUCAAUCAGCCCAGGAACCAUCCUAUAAAAUCUCCAGCAAGCCUUUGUUUCCUUGCAGUCAGCUCCUCUUCUGCUGAUUCUGCCUGUCGCUCCCUGAUAACAUACUUUCAUACUGUCUUUAAUAAAUCUGUCUUU